rnacentral:rRNA from 1 species
AGCAGCCGCGGUAAUUCCAGCUCCAAUAGCGUAUAUUAAAGUUGUUGCAGUUAAAAAGCUCGUAGUUGAAUUUCGGAAUCAAUGGAUCGGUCAUGCCACUCGGUGUGUACUGGUUUGAUUGGUUCUCACCUUCUAAGGAACCGUGAUGUCAUUAAUUUGGUGUCGCGGGGAAUUAGGACUGUUACCUUGAAAAAAUUAGAGUGUUUAAAGCAAGCUCACGCUUGAAUACAUUAGCAUGGAAUAAUGAAAUAGGACAUUGUAUUCUAUUUUGUUGGUUUCUAGGAUCGAUGUAAUGAUUAAUAGGGAUAGUUGGGGGCAUUAGUAUUCAAUUGUCAGAGGUGAAAUUCUUGGAUUUAUUGAAGACUAACUACUGCGAAAGCAUUUGCCAAGGAUGUUUUCAUUAAUCAAGAACGAAAGUUAGGGGAUCGAAGACGAUCAGAUACCGUCGUAGUCUUAACCAUAAACUAUGCCGACUAGGGAUCGGAUGAUGUUAAUUUUUAAUGAC